GCAAUCGCUAAGAGAGUUAGAGAGACCCAAGAAGACAAGGCGGAAGUGAAGACACCGGGUGCCCUGAAUGCUAGAUUUCCAUUGGUCCGCAAAGGAAAGGGAAUUGACUCCGAGCGAGGCCAUUUUUGUUUGGGGCAAAACAAAUUGGCGCCCGCUUUGAUGGAGUCUACUUGGGAGCAGUGUUUCUAGGUUUUGGUGGCUGAAAAUAUAUGGUUUCACUCAUUCUCUGAUAUUGAUAUGAUUAACUGCUUGUGAGUUCAUGAUGGAAAGCUCAUGGAGGAGACAAUUUUGAAAAGAGUCUCUGGAGCAGAUCACUCAAGAUCUCUAACAAGAUCGAAAUCUGGGGUUCAGCCUGUGCUCCAGUCUCAUUUAAAGCCAUCAACAGAUGAAUGGGUGAAGAAGAUGUGGUAUAAGUAUGCAAUGGA